rnacentral:lncRNA from 1 species
GAGUCUCGCGAUGCUAGCGCGGGGCUGCUGACGUCAUCUGCAGGCCCUGGAGACGCGACUGCAGUUACCGAGUUUCUAAGGCCUCGUCCCCUGACGGGAAGGCGGCGUUGGGGGGCGGCUGGGUUUACCCUUCGAGAUCAGCAGGAAGAAGAGAUGGAAGCAACGCCAUGGACCUUCACGUCCUUCAGAGUGUGGGUGGGCUUGGGCUUUGCAGUGAGAGCAAGUAUCACCCAGGAUGGAGAUGGGAGGUAAUGGGUGGCCCCGACAGGUGCCUCCUACUGCUGGCAGCAAGGAGAGAGUGAAGAGGCAGAAUUUCCUUGGUCUAGACUAGAGUCUGGGUCAUGGGCAUGGCAGUGCUUGAGCUUUUGACCAGAAGCAAGUGGACAUGGAUUUGAGCUUCGGGUAAGAAGGGAGACUUCUCUCCAGGGACCAUAGGGGCUGGCAGCUGAAGAAGGUGACUUGGCCCCUCUCUAGAGGGUGAACGCAGGAUCAAUUCAAGGCCAUGAAGUGGAUGCAGCUGGGAGAGCCUGCUUGGUGCUUUUAAACCUCAACAUGUCAACCGCAAAUACCUCAAACACUGCUCACACCGUGGUAAAAUCUAGUUGCGAAACCUGUCCCGCGGCAGCCUUCUCCAUCCCAGGUGCCCAGGCCCCAUCUCCUGGGAGCAGGCAGCUCUCCCCACCCCGAUUCAUGUCCCUCCUACAGCCCAAGGCAACUCCCUGCCACCUUGGUGAAUGAAGCACAUCAUGCUGCCCAGGCUUCUGAGCUGUUUGCCGUGUUGCGGAGAUGCAGCCUUCAGCCUUGGAUACCCACCCACUCCUCUACUUGGGCAUUGUUUUCACAGGCUGCUCUUCCCUGUAGCUUCAGAGAAGUAGGUCAAGUAGGUUAACUCGCUUUAAGGGAGAAGUGCCAGGGGUUCAAGUCACCCAGCCUGGAGGCAGGAAUCCUGGGUUCUAUUUUUGGCUUCACAGCUAAUCCGCUGUGUGACAGUCGUUAGGAGCUCAUUCUCCCCUCUGGGUCUCCCUGAGCCCUUCUCUAGGUCCCACAAUUUUUUUUUUUUUCCCUGAAGCUAUAUUCCCUGGACUGUCAUAUUCUUCCCUCUUCCCUCCCUCUGGGAGGUGCUUUAAAGCCGUUGGCUGCUCAAGGCUGGCGCCCUAGGCAAGAGGGGCUGCAGUUGUUGUAGCUGAUGAGGAGGAGAUAAGAGGCUUUUCUGUAGACACAGUUGAGCUGAUGGGCUGUGUGAGGCUGGAGUGCCAGGAAACCAGACUCCUGUAACUACAGGACAGGCCCUGGUGAUGUGAUGAUGGGGAUGUGACGGGGAUGCUGAAGCCUGGAAUGCGAGUGGGGGUUCCUGCGUUUUAUGCAAUGGCUGUAGAUUUCCUCCCA